AAUUUAGGCUGCUGGUGGAGGAAAGGCUGCUUGGUUUACACCAAUGAUGAUAGAUCUGCGACAGAGCAAGUCAAAAGGGAGUUAAAAUUACACAGGAUGCUUGUGAAGAAAAUGUGGUCAGCUGUGAACCUCAGACUUGAUCUCUUAAGUGAACUGUGAGUAACAAUGGUC
rnacentral:lncRNA from 1 species